AUGAACGCUAGCUACAGGCUUAACACAUGCAAGUCGAGGGGCAUCAGGAAGAAAGCUUGCUUUCUUUGCUGGCGACCGGCGCACGGGUGAGUAACACGUAUCCAACCUGCCCUUUACUCGGGGAUAGCCUUUCGAAAGAAAGAUUAAUACCCGAUGGCAUAAUGAUUCCGCAUGGUUUCAUUAUUAAAGGAUUCCGGUAAAGGAUGGGGAUGCGUUCCAUUAGGUUGUUGGUGAGGUAACGGCUCACCAAGCCUUCGAUGGAUAGGGGUUCUGAGAGGAAGGUCCCCCACAUUGGAACUGAGACACGGUCCAAACUCCUACGGGAGGCAGCAGUGAGGAAUAUUGGUCAAUGGGCGCUAGCCUGAACCAGCCAAGUAGCGUGAAGGAUGAAGGCUCUAUGGGUCGUAAACUUCUUUUAUAUAAGAAUAAAGUGCAGUAUGUAUACUGUUUUGUAUGUAUUAUAUGAAUAAGGAUCGGCUAACUCCGUGCCAGCAGCCGCGGUAAUACGGAGGAUCCGAGCGUUAUCCGGAUUUAUUGGGUUUAAAGGGAGCGUAGGUGGACUGGUAAGUCAGUUGUGAAAGUUUGCGGCUCAACCGUAAAAUUGCAGUUGAUACUGUCAGUCUUGAGUACAGUAGAGGUGGGCGGAAUUCGUGGUGUAGCGGUGAAAUGCUUAGAUAUCACGAAGAACUCCGAUUGCGAAGGCAGCUCACUGGACUGCAACUGACACUGAUGCUCGAAAGUGUGGGUAUCAAACAGGAUUAGAUACCCUGGUAGUCCACACAGUAAACGAUGAAUACUCGCUGUUUGCGAUAUACAGUAAGCGGCCAAGCGAAAGCAUUAAGUAUUCCACCUGGGGAGUACGCCGGCAACGGUGAAACUCAAAGGAAUUGACGGGGGCCCGCACAAGCGGAGGAACAUGUGGUUUAAUUCGAUGAUACGCGAGGAACCUUACCCGGGCUUAAAUUGCAGUGGAAUGAUGUGGAAACAUGUCAGUGAGCAAUCACCGCUGUGAAGGUGCUGCAUGGUUGUCGUCAGCUCGUGCCGUGAGGUGUCGGCUUAAGUGCCAUAACGAGCGCAACCCUUAUCUUUAGUUACUAACAGGUUAUGCUGAGGACUCUAGAGAGACUGCCAUCGUAAGAUGUGAGGAAGGUGGGGAUGACGUCAAAUCAGCACGGCCCUUACGUCCGGGGCUACACACGUGUUACAAUGGGCGGUACAGAAAGCAGCUACCCCGCGAGGGGAUGCCAAUCUCAAAAACCGUUCUCAGUUCGGACUGGAGUCUGCAACCCGACUCCACGAAGCUGGAUUCGCUAGUAAUCGCGCAUCAGCCAUGGCGCGGUGAAUACGUUCCCGGGCCUUGUACACACCGCCCGUCAAGCCAUGAAAGCCGGGGGUACCUGAAGUACGUAACCGCAAGGAUCGUCCUAGGGUAAAACUGGUGACUGGGGCU
rnacentral:rRNA from 1 species